rnacentral:misc_RNA from 1 species
CUUGGAUGUGGGGGUUGCAGGUCCGCUUUUGUGGUCUGCUCCUCUAAAAUGUAUUAGUGGGUUAGUCCCCUAAAUCUAUUGGUGUGAUAAUUAUCUACGCCGUGGAUUGGGAUGGCUAUAUAGACUCGCUUCUAACUGUCCUGACGGACGACUUUGACAUUUUUGACCUCAAAUCAGGUAAGACUACCUGCUGAACUUAA